rnacentral:rRNA from 1 species
UACAGAGGUCUCAAGCGUUGUUCGGAUUCAUUGGGCGUAAAGGGUGCGUAGGCGGCACGACAAGUCGGGAGUGAAAGCCCGGGGCUCAACCCCGGAAUGUCUCUCGAAACUGUCGAGCUAGAGUGCAGAAGAGGCAACUGGAAUUCCCAGUGUAGCGGUGAAAUGCGUAGAUAUUGGGAAGAACACCUGAGGCGAAGGCGGGUUGCUGGGCUGACACUGACGCUGAGGCGCGAAAGCCAGGGGAGCAAACGGG